CUGUCUAGAUGCAAGCAAUAAAUUAUUAUUUUUAAGGGACUCAUCUUCAAAGUAAUUAUCGUUAAGGACAAAAAGUGCCUUCCCGUACUCGUGUCCUAACUUGUGUUGCUUCAAAACUUCAAGCAAAAUCCGUGUUUUUGGUUGACUUAAGUUGAUGGGAUUUUCAAGGAUGGUCAGUUCAUUAUUAAUAAAUCUUGUACUUAGCGCAAUCCUCAUUGCUAAAUUAUAAACUUGGGUUUGUAAUUUUGUACUGAAAUCUCUAGGCUUAGGACCAUGUGAUUUAGCACCACCUCUUCUUAUAGGACUUGAGGCAUCGCCUACCCGUGCAUGUCCUGUACCUUUUUGUCGAUAAAGUUUUCGACCGGAACAAGUAAUUUCAUUUCGGCGCUUUGAGCUAGCAGUGCCUUGACGGUCAUUAUCUGCUUCAUAAAUAACGGCACGAUGCAAAAUAUCUCGACGAAAUCUUUCUUGCAGGAAACUUCCGGGAAUAAGAAAAAGACUCGCGGGCUCCAACGACGGAAAUUUAUAUCGCACCAAGUGCAACAUUUUUGCUGUCAUUCUGAUUAGUUUGUGAAAUGGACGACUAGUACCUGAAGAAUGGAUGUAUUUUACUUUCAAUUAGUCUAACACAAUGUACUAAGUAUCACAAUGCAUUUCAUUAUAACAUA